rnacentral:rRNA from 1 species
AACGAACGCUGGCGGCGCGCCUAAUACAUGCAAGUCGAGCGAGAAGACGUAGCAAUACGUUUGUAAAGCGGCGAACGGGUGAGGAAUACAUGGGUAACCUACCCUCGAGUGGGGAAUAACUAGCCGAAAGGUUAGCUAAUACCGCGUACGCUCCUUGGACUUCGGUUCAGGGAGGAAAGCGAUACCGUGGGUAUCGCGCUCUUGGAUGGGCUCAUGUCCUAUCAGCUUGUGGUGAGGUAACGGCUCACCAAGGCUUCGACGGGUAGCUGGUCUGAGAGGACGAUCAGCCACACUGGCACUGCGACACGGGCCAGACUCCUACGGGAGGCAGCAGUAAGGAAUAUUGCGCAAUGGGCGAAAGCCUGACGCAGCGACGCCGCGGUGGGGGA